UUGCUCAAUAAUAUUGAUUAGCCUUGCGCGUAAGGAAUCUGAUCAACCCGAAAUCUUCGCCGCCCUUCCCCUAAAACCCUACACCACGAACGACGCCGUUCGAGUGGUCUCUCUUUCUCUGUGUCUAGGGCUUCAGUAACCAGAACAGAAACAAUGGCCCCGAUUAACGGGAACGGCGAUGUUGAGCAGCAGAACAUGUCGAACGAGGACCCAAUGGAGUACCACAAGUCUGGCUUUUGGUUGAACGUAGAAAGAUGAGGGGUUUUAAGUGAGCUCAGUUUGUACAAUCUUUCCUAAAUACAGAGAAACAGAUUUGCAACAAAGUUGGCCAGUGGUGAAAUCUGCUUUAGAAGAGUAUGUCAUUUCAUGUGCACUGAAUCUGGUUGACGGUUGCAUGACAGUCUCAACAACCAGAAGGACUAGAAAUGCAUAUAUUUUUGUCUAGGCUAGGGAUCUUCUUAAGCUUUUGUCAGCAA